GAUGAACGCUAGCGGCAGGCUUAAUACAUGCAAGUCGAGGGGCAACAGGGGUAGCAAUACCUGCUGGCGACCGGCAAACGGGUGCGGAACACGUACAGAACCUUCCUUUAAGCGGGGGAUAGCCCAUAGAAAUGUGGAUUAAUACCCCAUAGUAAUAUUAGUUGGCAUCAAUUGAUAUUUAAAGAUUUAUCACUUAAAGAUGGCUGUGCGGCUGAUUAGGUAGUUGGUGCGGGUAACGGCCCACCAAGCCAGCGAUCAGUAACUGGUGUGAGAGCACGGACCAGUCACACGGGCACUGAGACACGGGCCCGACUCCUACGGGAGGCAGCAGUAAGGAAUAUUGGUCAAUGGACGCAAGUCUGAACCAGCCAU
rnacentral:rRNA from 1 species